rnacentral:rRNA from 1 species
UACCCGCAGCUCAAGUGGUGGUCAUUAUUAUUGGGCCUAAAGCGUCCGUAGCUGGCUUGUUAGAUGCCUGGGUAAAUCGAUGCGCUUAACGCAUCGAAUUCCGGGUAGACCGGCAAGCUCGAGACCGGGAGAGGCGAGUGGAACUCCUGGUGUAGCGGUGGAAUGCGCAGAUAUCAGGAAGAACACCAACGGCGAAGGCAGCUCGCUAGGACGGUACUGACGCUGAGACGCGAAAGCGUGGGGAGCGAACAGG